CCGAAAGGCGUAGUCGAUGGGAAACAGGUUAAUAUUCCUGUACUUGUUAUUACUGCGAUGGGAUGACGGAGAAGGUUAGGUCAGCCAACUGUUGGAUAUGUUGGUUUAACUGUGUAGGCGUGCUGCUUAGGAAAAUCCGGGCGGCUAAGCUGAGACAGGACGACGAGUGCCAUUAGGCGCGAAGUGAUUGAUACCCGGCUUCCAGGAAAAGUCUCUAAGCUUCAGGUAAUAACAAACCGUACCCCAAACCGACACAGGU
rnacentral:rRNA from 1 species